UACGGGGGGAGCAAGCGUUGUUCGGAUUUACUGGGCGUAAAGGGCGCGUAGGCGGCCAGCGCAAGUCAGUUGUGAAAUCUCCGGGCUUAACUCGGAAAGGUCAACUGAUACUGCGCGGCUAGAGUGCAGAAGGGGCAACUGGAAUUCUCGGUGUAGCGGUGAAAUGCGUAGAUAUCAGGAAGAACACCCGUGGCGAAAGCGGCUCUCUGGGACGGUACUGACGCUGAGACGCGAAAGCGUGGGGAGCGAACAGG
rnacentral:rRNA from 1 species